rnacentral:rRNA from 1 species
UACGUAGGUGGCAAGCGUUGUCCGGAAUUAUUGGGCGUAAAGCGCGCGUAGGCGGCUACUUAAGUCGGAUGUGAAAGCCCUGGGCUCAACCCAGGAAGUGCAUUCGAAACUUCCGAGCUCGAGUUCUGGAGAGGAUAGCGGAAUUCUCGGUGUAGAGGUGAAAUUCGUAGAUAUCGAGAGGAACACCGGUGGCGAAGGCGGCUAUCUGGACAGAAACUGACGCUGAGACGCGAAAGCGUGGGGAGCAAACAGG